GGAGCGGUACCGAAGUGGUCAUAACGGGGCUGACUCGAAAUCAGUUCGACGGCAACGUCACGUGGGUUCGAAUCCCACCCGCUCCGCCA
rnacentral:tRNA from 1 species